AGGGUCUAAUCAGACACUUGAGUUCUUGUUAGUGUCCAGGCCUGUGCUGACACCCAGGGCCAUGGUGACAUCCAGGCAUAGGCUGCAGUAUAGAGCCAUGUCUGGGUCCAUGGCUCUACCACAGCCAGGGUCUGUGUUGUCUGUGGCUUGUGGCUCCUGGUACCAUCAAAGACCAUGCCGGUGCCAGGGGUCUGAGCUGCCACCUGGGGACAUGUUGGUCUGAAGGUCUUGCUGCUGCUAGAGCCAUACUGAUCUGCGUGGCCUAUGAUGCUACAUGUGGCCAUGGUGUUGUCGGGCCUGGGCUGCUGCCUAGGACCAUGUCUGGAUCUGUGGUCCAGCAGCAACCAGGGUGUGAGCUGAUGUCCACAGUUCCUGUUACCACUGAAGGCUGUGCAGAGGCCCAGGAUAUGGACAGCCACCAGAGAUCAUGUUGGUGUCCAAGGGCCUUGCUGCUAUCUGGCCAUACUGAUCUGGGUGGCCUGUGCUGCCACCAGAAGCAUGGUGAUGUACAGGUUUGAGCUGCUGCUGAGGGCCAUGCCUGGGUCCACGUUCCUGCUGCAGCUGGGGUGUGUGAUGAUAUCCAUAGCCCGUGUUAGCACAGGGGACAUACAAACCAUCUGUAUUAAAAUCUGAGGGCCAUGUUGAGCCAGCCCCACCCUCACUGGCUUUGGGAUAGCUGGCCCUGUCCCUGGCUGGACACUGCAGCAGGAGAGCUGGUCCUGCCUCCCAUGGGAGAGCUGGUCCCUGCCCUCAGGAGAGAUGGCCCCACCCCUCAGCAUGGGAGUAGAAGAGCUAGCUCUGCCCCUUGCUAAGGGGGGCAGUCCCAGUGUCCUGGAUCAAUCAUCUCAGCUACCACUCAGACCCUCAUGUUGGGCCUCAGGUUGACCGACCCUAACAUCUAUCCCAUCUGUGACCUGCUAGAGUGUGUGAAGGGCCUGCUCCUGCAGAAGGAUAGCCACAGGAUCCCCAUGACUCAUAACAACAGCAGGAUAUCCGAGAGGAGUUUCAGUGAGGGUCCUUGAUGAUGGUUGGUUCAAGGUCCAGAGGCCUUGAACCAAACCAAUGACUCAUUACAAUGAACAUUUGUGGUGGGGCUGAUUGGACAAAAGGGUAUACUGCAUGACACACUGCAGUUCCCAGUGCCAGUAGGAUAAAUGAAGAGGUGCUAGAAAAACAGAGGAGUGAGGCCGAGGGUUGAAGACAACGUGACAGCAAAGCCUGCUCAAUACACCCACAAGUGGCAUCCCACCUCCUCUUGUCCCUUACCACAAGUGAGUUCAGAUGCCAGCUUCAUCCAGCAGUUGCAGUAGCCUGUUCUCCCUUCUUCAGAAAGCAGCUGCAUGACUCCUCCCUGUCCUCAGCUCAGGCUCACCUCAGGCCUUUCCUGAGUCUGGCCUGGACCACUGCCUAGCUCCACAGCCCCAGAAGUGGCCUCAGAGGACAGCUUCGAGGAGUCGGUUCUCUCCUUCCACUGCAGUUCCGGGGAUUCAUCUCAGGUUGGGCUUUUGAGCGAAUUUAUUUCCCUUCUGAGCCGUCUCGUCAUCACCUGCCCUGCCCACAUGCUUCCUUUUUAAAUACCAUCUUGGUUGAAAGAUACGGUUCACUCAUUUGAAAAUCUAGUACUAAAUUCCAUUUAUCUUUUCGUUUGGUUUCAUUGGUCUGUGUUUUCUUUCUUUUGAGAGAAUGUCUCACUAUGUAGCCCGUUGGUCCUUGAACUCUCCUUUCUCCUUUGUAGGUUGUGCUGGUAUGACCGGUGUGUUAUACCACGAAUGUCUUAGUGCCUGGUUUGAUGCUAUUAUGUCUGAGAAAGGUACAUCCCAAGAGCCAUAAUGCUAGGAGACAUGUUCACAGGCACAAUUUUCAAUUCUGGGCACAGGUUUUUAAAUUUUCUUUUAUAUAGCUGAUGUCAAUCAAUUGUUACUGGAUACGUAUCAGAAAGUUUACCAUUUUAAAUAUUUUUGAAAAAUUCAUUCAAGACACACUAAAACUCUUUCAGAUUUCAAAUAGUCUAGAGGGAACUGGAACGAUGGCUCAGCAGGUAAGAGCACCUACUAUUCAGUUUGGGCUCCUAGCAGCCAUGUUGGAUGGUUCAUAGCCAUCUACUGAAACUCCAGCUCCAGGGGAUCUAAUGCCCUCUUCUGAACUCAUAAGCACAACCACAUACAUACACAAAACUAAAAAUAGUAAAAAGAAUGUACAGGGGGUGGUGG